GAACAGAACAGAACAGAACAGAACAGAACAACUCUGGAAGCAGACAACUCAGAAGCCUCAGGAAGUCCUUGAAACUGAACAGCUGCAUGAGGCUCCUCCCUCUCCAAGGCUCUGAGUGAACAGCACUGUGCAUUUGAAAUCCUCUGUUCUUGUUGAUGCCUCUUCAGGUAAGAACACUGAAGGCUAACUGAAUCUGCCAGUUCAAAAUAAAACUGGGAGACCCUCAGUGGCGUGCUCAGUCACAAAUGGGACAUCUAUUACAUCACAUCCCACCAAGGCUCAUGGAUCAUCAAAGAAGAGGGUGAAAAGAUCGUCAGAGCCAGAGUUUUCCACCAAACUGAAAGAUCACACAUUUGGGCUCAAAGGGUGUAUGGAGGCAAAUCCUUCUUCUGGGUAACUGUUAGACUGGAUCAGAUCUUUGGUCCAAGAUGGAGUCACCAAAGACACUGAGACGAAUGACCCCUGUGGGCCCCAGCCCCUCCAGAGAAAUAGAAACUGAACAUUCGGCACUUCUCGGGAGUCCGUUGACUCCUUGUCUCAGCAGAAGAGCAUGAUCACAGCCUCCUGCUAUCUUAAUGGCCAGAGUCCCACACUUACCCGCCC